GACGAAGGGGGCUAGCGUUGUUCGGAAUUACUGGCGUAAAGCGUGUGUAGGUGGUUGUCAUAGUCAGGUGUGAAAGCCUUGAGCUCAACUCAAGAAAUGCACUUGAUACUGGGCAGCUAGAGGACCGGAGAGGAUAGUGGAAUUCCCAGUGUAGUGGUGAAAUACGUAGAGAUUGGGAAGAACACCAGUGGCGAAGGCGGCUAUCUGGACGGUUUCUGACACUAAGACACGAAAGCGUGGGGAGCAAACAGGG
rnacentral:rRNA from 1 species